UACGUAGGGUGCAAGCGUUGUCCGGAAUUAUUGGGCGUAAAGAGCUUGUAGGCGGUUUGUCGCGUCUGCUGUGAAAUUUCGGGGCUCAACCCCGAACUUGCAGUGGGUACGGGCAGACUAGAGUGCGGAAGAGGCGAGUGGAAUUCCUGGUGUAGCGGUGAAAUGCGCAGAUAUCAGGAGGAACACCAGCGGCGAAGGCGGCGCUCUGGGCCGGAACUGACGCUGAGGAGCGAAAGCGUGGGUAGCAAACAGG
rnacentral:rRNA from 1 species